AGCCACGGCCAUGCUACCCUGAACAAGCCCGAUGUCUGAUCUCAGAAACAAAACAGAGUCAGACCUGGUUAGUACUUGGAUGGGAGACCACCUAAGAAGACCAGGAGCUGUAGGCA
rnacentral:rRNA from 1 species